rnacentral:rRNA from 1 species
GACGAACCGUGCGAACGUUGUUCGGAAUCACUGGGCUUAAAGGGCGCGUAGGCGGGCUGGUAAGUCAGGGGUGAAAGCCCCGGGCUCAACCUGGGAAUUGCAUUCGAGACUGAAUAGCUAGGGUACGGUAGAGGGAAGUGGAAUUUCCGGUGUAGCGGUGAAAUGCGUAGAUAUCGGAAGGAACAUCAGUGGCGAAAGCGACUUCCUGGACCAGUACCGACGUUCAGGCACGAAAGCGUGGGGAGCAAACAGG